GCCCUGGUGGCACAACGGUUAAGCGCUCAGCUGCUAAAUGAAAGGUUGGUGGUUUGAACCCACUCAGCGGCU
rfam:Loxodonta africana unplaced genomic scaffold scaffold_29, whole genome shotgun sequence.